GACGAACGCUGGCGGCGUGCCUAAUACAUGCAAGUCGAACGCUUCUUUCCUCCCGAGUGCUUGCACUCAAUUGGAAAGAGGAGUGGCGGACGGGUGAGUAACACGCGGGUAACCUACCCAUCAGUGGGGGAUAACACUUGGAAACAGGUGCUAAUACCGCAUAACAGUUUAUGCCGCAUGGCAUAAGAGUGAAAGGCGCUUUCGGGUGUCGCUGAUGGAUGGACCCGCGGUGCAUUAGCUAGCUGGUGAGGUAACGGCUCACCAAGGCCACGAUGCAUAGCCGACGUGAGAGGGUGGUCGGCCACACUGGGACUGAGACACGGCCCAGACUCCUACGGGAGGCAGCAGUAGGGAAUCUUCGGCAAUGGACGAAAGUCUGACCGAGCAACGCCGCGUGAGUGAAGAAGGUGUUCGGAUCGUAAAACUCUGUUGUUAGAGAAGAACAAGGACGUUAGUAACUGAACGUCCCCUGACGGUAUCUAACCAGAAAGCCACGGCUAACUACGUG
rnacentral:rRNA from 1 species